rnacentral:rRNA from 1 species
UCCCUGAAAGAUGAUCAGGUUGAUAGGUCUGAGGUGGAAGCGUGGUGACACGUGGAGCUGACAGAUACUAAUAGAUCGAGGACUUAACCACAUUU